rnacentral:snRNA from 1 species
CCAAUUACCUGGCACAGGAGAUACCAUGUUCACUAAGGUGGUUCUCACUGGUUGAGGCUCACCCAUUGCACUUUGGGUGUGCUGAUUUCCCCAUAUAUGGUAAACUCAACUGCAUAAUUUGUGGUAGUAGGGGAGUGGUGGCUCUCUGGCCUA